CCUACGUGAGGCAGCAGUGAGGAAUAUUGGUCAAUGGCCGGAAGGCUGAACCAGCCAAGUCGCGUGAGGGACGACUGCCCUAUGGGUUGUAAACCUCUUUUAUAAGGGACGAAUAAAUGCUACGUGUAGCAUGCUGCCUGUACCUUAUGAAUAAGCAUCGGCUAACUCCGUGCCAGCAGCCGCGGUAAUACGGAGGAUCCGAGCGUUAUCCGGAUUUAUUGGGUUUAAAGGGAGCGUAGAUGGGUUGUUAAGUCAGUUGUGAAAGUUUUCGGCUAAACCGUAAAAUUGCAAUUGAUACUGGCAGUCUGGAGUACAGUGGAGGAAGGCGGAAUUCGUGGUGUAGCGGUGAAAUGCUUAGAUAUCACGAAGAACCCCGAUGGCGAAGGCAGCUUACUAAACUGUGACUGACAUUGAUGCGCGAAAGUGUGGGUAUCAAACAGGAUUAGAUACCCCAGUAGUC
rnacentral:rRNA from 1 species